rfam:Azotobacter vinelandii DJ, complete genome.
GUCCGACGCCGCAUUGGCCCGCACGGUUUCCCGACAGAGAGGAUGCCCAUCAUGGCACUCACCGUUGAAGAAAAAGCCCAGAUCGUCAACGAGUACAAGCAAGCUGAA